rnacentral:rRNA from 1 species
UGUAAGCGUAUACCAAAGUUGUUGCAGUUAAAACGCUCGUAGUCGGAAUUUGGCAGUUCCGGAUGUGUGCACGUCGUGUGCGCACUUCGCGGGGAUUGCUUUUGUGGUCUUGCGUAGGAUGAGGCACUUUUAUUAGUGAACGUCCUCACGCAACCACUUUUUACUGUGAGAAAAUCAGAGUGCUCAAAGCAGGCAUUUGCCGUGAAUGUAUUAGCAUGGAAUAAUAGAAUAGGACUUGGUUCUAUUUUGUUGGUUUGUUGGGACUGAGUAAUGAUUAAGAGGGACAGUUGGGGGCAUUUGUAUUUCGGUGCUAGAGGUGAAAUUCUUAGAUUACCGAAAGACAAACUGCUGCGAAAGCGUCUGCCAAGGAUGUUUUCAUGGA